UGCAAGUCGAGCGGAACGAUCCCAGCUUGCUGGGAGGCGUCGAGCGGCGGACGGGUGAGUAAUGCAUAGGAAUCUGCCCGAUAGUGGGGGAUAACCUGAGGAAACUCAGGCUAAUACCGCAUACGUCCUACGGGAGAAAGCAGGGGCUCUUCGGACCUUGCGCUAUCGGAUGAGCUUAUGUCGGAUUAGCUGGUUGGUGAGGUAACGGCUCACCAAGGCGACGAUCCGUAGCUGGUCUGAGAGGAUGAUCAGCCACAUCGGGACUGAGACACGGCCCGAACUCCUACGGGAGGCAGCAGUGGGGAAUAUUGGACAAUGGGGGCAACCCUGAUCCAGCCAUGCCGCGUGUGUGAAGAAGGCCCUCGGGUUGUAAAGCACUUUCAGUGAGGAAGAAUGCUUGUCGGUUAAUACCCGGCAAGGGAGACAUCACUCACAGAAGAAGCACCGGCUAACUCCGUGCCAGCAGCCGCGGUAAUACGGAGGGUGCGAGCGUUAAUCGGAAUUACUGGGCGUAAAGCGCGCGUAGGCGGCUUGAUAAGCCGGUUGUGAAAGCCCCGGGCUCAACCUGGGAACGGCAUCCGGAACUGUCAGGCUAGAGUGCAGGAGAGGAAGGUAGAAUUCCCGGUGUAGCGGUGAAAUGCGUAGAGAUCGGGAGGAAUACCAGUGGCGAAGGCGGCCUUCUGGACUGACACUGACGCUGAGGUGCGAAAGCGUGGGUAGCAAACAGGAUUAGAUACCCUGGUAGUCCACGCCGUAAACGAUGUCGACUAGCCGUUGGGGUCCUCGAGACCUUUGUGGCGCAGUUAACGCACUAAGUCGACCGCCUGGGGAGUACGGCCGCAAGGUUAAACUCAAUGAAUUGACGGGGGCCGCACAGCGGUGGAGCAUGGUGGUUUAAUUCGAUGCACGCGAGACCUUACCUACCCUUGACAUCGUG
rnacentral:rRNA from 1 species